UCACUUCACUUUGUAUCGGGCAUUGGAGAGUGGACGACGUCGGUCAACUUCCAGUUCCGCCUCCAUCUCCAUUAGAGUGGGGUUUGCACAAACUCUCUUCUCUUACAACACUCGACCUUUAUGGCGGAGGUUGGCCGUGGGGAGAUACGGUGUCCUUUCCAGAAGAAGGGAUGUUCCUGCCCACCUCUCUCAUCAAAUUGACCAUCCAACACUUCCGAAAUCUGGAAAGACUCUCUUAUGAGGAGUUUCAAAACCUCACCUCUCUUGAAAGACUUGAAAUCUGGAGUUGCCCUAGGCUCGCGUCCUUUCCAAAGGAAGGGUUGCCUCCCUCUCUUUUGCAUCUAUGGAUCUAUGACUGCCCUGAGCUUGCGACCUUUCCAGAACAAGGAUUCCCUCCCUCGCUUUUGUCAGUGUGGAUCAGGGGAUGUAAUCCAAUACUGAAACAGAAGUGUGAAAAGGGGAAAGAAUAUUGGCCCAUCAUCCAAUACAUUCCUCGAGUAGAUUUCGAAUAAGCAGCCACCUGCAAGGAGAAUAUGGAGGUUUGUUAUGGAAAGACUCAAGAUAGAUGGCAAAGAAGGCAGAAAUACUAGUGCACAUCUGAGAAUUCCCACAUGAUCAAAGGCAAUAGAAAGCACAGAAAAGGAAAGAAAGAAGCAAAGAAGAGAGAAAUUGUACAUAGUUGCUUUUUGGCUAUUUAGCUUGGUAAGAUGGGAUUUUAAUAAAGCUCUUUCAGCUAAGCAAGGUUGGCGGUUGCUUACUAUCCAAAUUCAAAUUUUCUAAAGCUAGCUUGAGGAGUAAACCAUUGACAUUGUUUAGAGGAGUAUUUGGAGUGCAAAGUAUUUUUUGGAGGCUGCGCUGCACUGGCAUAUUGGGAAUGGAAGGUCUAUGAAGAUUUGGAAAGAUAUAUGGAUUCCAAGGCCUUACUCUUACAAACCUAUUUCUGUUACAAAAUUCUUGCAUGCUGAUGCUAAGUUGGCAUAUCAUUUGGAGAUGGUUUUGUGAAGCAGAGAAACACAAGUCAGGUCAGAUGCUGGGAGUUUUGAAAGGGCAUUUUCAAAAACGAUUUGGUUGCUGAAAUUUCUGCAUAAAGUGAAAAUCUUUGCAUGGAAAACAUGUUCGAAUAUCCUUCAUGUUCAAUCAAAGUUGAGGAGGUGCAAAUUAAUUCAAUUCAAUGACUGUUAUUUCCCUUUUGCUGCAGAAGUUUGGUCAUUAAGCCCUCUUUACUCUGUUCUAACCAUGCCCUGCUUAAAAUUUUCUAUUCUUGAUCUAGGAGUUUAGCCAAAAGAUGGAUGUAUCACCUUUGAGAUUAUUCUUUUUUUAUUUGCUGGAGUAUUUGGAACAAUCA